CAAGCACUGGUAUCAUCUUCACCUCUGCCUGGGGUUCUGCUGCUUCAUCUCUUGCCCAUGUUCGGCCCUAGGCUUUGCAGCCUCAACAAAGAUAACCCGCCCAUCCAGAAACUGCAGACAAGUUCAAAAUCAGACAAGGCCGGAAGAUGGUCGGUAGCUCAAGAAAACACAGCUCAUUUGUAUCGAAAUCUAAUGUUUCAGAGAAGAGGAGUUCGAUGAAUGAGAUUGAGAAGUAAGACUGAACCUUCCCAUGCAUUCCUUCAACAGCUUUAUUGGAUUCCUCCUCUGUCUUAUAUUGCAGGAAUGCAAAACCUCGAGGCCGAUUCGCUAUCC